UAAUCCGAAAAAAAUGCAACAAUGAAAACUACAAGCAAGCUGCUACUAAAAAGACAUUGGACAUUUAAUAUUUCUGCACAAAACCAAAUACUGUAUAUGGUUAAAACCUGCUUCCCUUGUUCUGAAAGCCAUGGGUGAUGCUGAAGCUGCUCUAGGGUGGCACGCUGAUCCGGGACAAUAGUCAAGCACCUUAGCAGGAAAUUCCGGCAAUCUGGAGAGAAAGAAGAAGAGGAAAGAUGAAGGGACCCUCCGUUGACCUCUAAGUAGCUGUAGAGAUCUUCAGAGGGGACUGGUCUCUCUAGCACCAAGAUGAGCUCCUGGUCCAGGUC